rnacentral:misc_RNA from 1 species
UAUUGAUUGCGAAUUGUUGCCUUCUGUGCUGGCCAGCUCUGGCAAGUGCACGUCGGUGACUUUCAUCCAAUACCCUGUGCACCUUUGGCCUUUGCUAGCCUCGGCUGGCAGAGGAAUUUUUACACACACUCGAAUGUAAUGAAAUUUAUUGUCGUGCGCAAGCACUAAUGUACAACUUUCAACAACGGAUCUCUUGGCUCUCGCAUCGAUGAAGAACGCAGCGAAAUGCGAUAAGUAAUGUGAAUUGCAGAAUUCAGUGAAUCAUCGAAUCUUUGAACGCACCUUGCGCCCCUUGGCUAUUCCGAAGGGCAUGCCUGUUUGAGUAUCAUGAACACCUCAACCCUCGUGGUUUGCCACGACCGGCUUGGACUUUGGAGGUUUUGCUGGCCCCUGUGGUCAGCUCCUCUCAAAUAAAUCAGCUUACCAGUGUUUGGUGGCGUCGCAGGUGUGAUAACUAUCUACGCUUGCGGCCGUCUGCCACGUAACCUUCAGUGAUGAGGGUUCGCUGGGGCUCACAGAUGUCUCUCCUGAGUGAAGACAGCUUUUUGAUCGUUCG